GAGUUUACAGCUAUGGAAGUAGUAUUUUAUGGGAUACAGCAAAGCCCUAGCUUAAGCUGGCUGCUUCUUCUUAUGAAUUUACAUCAUGAAGAUUAGAAUACAUGAGGCAGAAGUAGUAGAAGACUAUAAGAACAUUUCCCAGGCGGCUGGCUCCCGAAGAUGGCAGAGGGGCAGGUCCUGGUGCUCGAUGGCAGAGGCCAUCUCCUGGGCCGCUUGGUGGCCAUCGUGGCCAAACAGGUACUACUGGGGUGGAAGGUGGUGGUUGUGUGCUGUGAGGGCAUCAGCAUUUCUGGCAAUUUCUAUAGAAACAAGUUAAAGUACCUGGCCUUCCUCUGCAAGCAGAUGAACACCAACCCAUCCUGUGGCCCCUGCCAUUUCUGGGCCCCCAUUUUCUGGCAGACUGUGGGGGGCAUGCUGCCCCACAAGACCAAGUGAGGCCAGGCUGCUCUGGACUGCCUCAAGGUGUUUGAUGGGAUCCCACCGCCCUAUGACAAGAAACAGCAGGUUGGUGGUUCCUACUGCCCUCAAGGUUGUGCAUCUGAAGCCUACAAUAAAGUCUGCCUACCUGGGGCACCUGGCUCACGAAAUUGGCUGAAAGUCCCAGGCAGUGACAGCCACCCUGGAGAAGAGGAAGGAGAAGGCCAAGAUCCACUACUGGAAGUAAAACCAGCUCAUGAGGCUAUGGAAACAGGCCGAAAAGAAUGUGGAGAAGAAAACUGACAAAUACACAGAGAUUCUCAAGACCCAUGGACUCCUGGUCUGAGCCCAAUACAGACUUUAUUCCUCAAAAAAAAAAAAAAAAAAAAAAAA